UACGGAGGGGGCUAGCGUUGUUCGGAAUUACUGGGCGUAAAGCGCGCGUAGGCGGUCUUUCAAGUCAGGAGUGAAAGGCUACGGCUCAACCGUAGUAAGCUCUUGAAACUGUAAGACUUGAGUGCAGGAGAGGAGAGUGGAAUUCCUAGUGUAGCGGUGAAAUGCGUAGAGAUCGGGAGGAACACCAGUGGCGAAGGCGGGUAACUGGACUGCAACUGACGCUGAGGCGCGAAAGUGUGGGGAGCAAACAGGAUUAGAUACCCCCGUAGUCCCU
rnacentral:rRNA from 1 species